GACGAACCGUGCGAACGUUGUUCGGAAUCACUGGGCUUAAAGGGUGCGUAGGUGGGCAGGUAAGUCAGUGGUGAAAUCUCUGGGCUUAACCCAGAAACUGCCGUUGAUACUAUCUGUCUUGAAUAUAGUGGAGGUGAGCGGAAUAUGUCAUGUAGCGGUGAAAUGCUUAGAUAUGACAUAGAACACCCAUUGCGAAGGCAGCUCGCUACACUAUUAUUGACACUGAGGCACGAAAGCGUGGGGAUCAAACAGG
rnacentral:rRNA from 1 species